AACGAGCGCUGGCGGCAGGCCUAACACAUGCCAGUCGAGCGCGCCCUCCGGGGUGAGCGGCGGACGGGUGAGUAACGCGUGGGAACGUGCCCUUUUCUACGGAAUAGCCUCGGGAAACUGAGAGUAAUACCGUAUACGCCCCUUGGGGGCAAGAUUCAUCGGAAAAGGAUCGGCCCGCGUUGGUUUAGGUUGUUGGUGGGGUAUUGGCCUACCAAGCCGACGAUCCAUAGCUGGUUUGAGAGGCUGAUCAGCCACACUGGGACUGAGACACGGCCCAGACUCCUACGGGAGGCAGCAGUGGGUAAUCUUAGACAAUGGGGGCAAACCUGAUCUAGCCAUGCCGCGUAAGUCAUGAUGGCCUUAGGGUUGUAAAGCACUUUCAGAUGGGAAGAUAAUGACGGUACCAGCAGAAGAAGCCCCGGCUAACUCCGUG
rnacentral:rRNA from 1 species